UAGGGAAUCUUCCGCAAUGGACGCAAGUCUGACGGAGCAACGCCGCGUGUGUGAAGAAGGAUUUCGGUUCGUAAAACUCUGUUGUUAGAGAAGAACAGCGCAUAGAGUAACUGUUAUGCGUGUGACGGUAUCUAACCAGAAAGCCACGGCUAACUACGUGCCAGCAGCCGCGGUAAUACGUAGGUGGCAAGCGUUGUCCGGAUUUAUUGGGCGUAAAGCGAGCGCAGGCGGUCAAUUAAUUCUGAUGUGAAAGCCCACGGCACAAACGGGGUGGCUCAUUGAACACUGGUUAACUAGAGUGAAGAGGAGGAGAGUGCAAUUCCAUGUAUAGCGGAGAAAUGAGUAGAUAUAUGGAGGAACAACAGUAGCGAAGGCGACUCUCUGGUAUGUAACUGACGCUGAAGCUCGAAAGCGUGGGUAGCAGACAGG
rnacentral:rRNA from 1 species